UAAUGAAAAGCGAUCUUCUUUGAGAUAUAUAUUUUUCCUAUUUACCAAGCAAACCACGGAGGAGUAUUAUAACAAACUGCAUGAGACAACAAAGUGAGCUUCAAAGCCACAUCUAUCUGAUAAAGACACUCUGUUUCUUCCUUAUUGAAUGCGGUGAACCACAAGACUCCUCGAAGUGGGCUGCAUCAACCUUUUAUUUUUUUCAUGAAAAUGAACAUAUCCAACAUGACAAACGAACUGCACUAGACCGGAUUUAAACAAAAACAAAAGAGUGUUAAAACAAUUCAGGAAGUGAACUACCUAAAAAGAUGACCCCCAUGGAGGAGCGAACCUCUCCAACAUACACAGUGAACCCCUCAUAAAAACGACCACGUGUGCAUAGUCCAAGGGAACUGCCCGUGCACACGCGAGUUCACCGGAAAACCGUCGACGCCAUGGGCCAAAUUGCACGUCCCGUUGGUCAAGCUGCACUCCUACGUGCGCAAAACUGCAUGGUGGGCAGGGCAACCUGAAGUCAGGUGGUUUCAUGGAGGAAUUACCAUAGCCAUAGGUAGGAAACGGUGAAAAAUUUAUAGGGGAGUGAGAUCACCUAGUCACCCAAGACUGAUGAGCACUAGCCCAGGAAUCCUUUUCAUCGGUUUCUGCAAAACAAACAGAAAUCAAAGACAAAGAAGCACAAAUCUAGCGGUCAGCUCGGAUUGGAACAAAAGGUAUAUCAUACAUAAAUUCUUCGGCUGGCGCACACAAGGAAGCCAAAUUCUGAAUCGACAAGGCAAGUUGACCAAGUAAACUACACUUUGUCUCGAAAUAAUAAACUGAACUUCACGAGCACCUUACUUUUUUAACAAGUUUCUCUAACAGCUUUUUUGGGAACUUCAAUCAUAUUUGUUUGUGAACUUCAGUCCACUUUCAGGCUGCAGGUGGGACAAUACAUGGGAGUCCCACCUCCAACCCACCUGAUCCCACUAUGUUUAGUGGGAGUAACUCGACACCCCAUCAAAACAUGCAUAAAUUAUAUGGGCUCAAGUGGGAUCCCAUUUAGCAAAUGGAAGAUUGAAACAUAAUACUCCAGUACGCACUAGUUUAGCAUCCAUCUGCCGAGUCCACAUUACAGUGUCACCCUUACUCCUCUGUUCUCUGUAAUUUUGCUUCUUUCGUUUUAGUUAGCACUGCACGAGCCCACUAUAGUGUGUGUGCGCGCUGUGCAACGGUGCAAGUCAGCAUCGACGACCGCAGUGCAAGCAUAUGUAGUCCGGUGACUAGCUCUCCCUUUCCAUUGGUGUUGAAAAUAGAAGUAGAGAAGAAAAUAUUGCAGCAUGUUUAGAGCUGCCAGAAACACACGACUCCUCUGUUCUUCAUGUGUGUGAGAGUUGAGACCUGACAUUGCCCAGCACUUCGGACCUGCAGUCGCCUCCACGGCCAGGCGACCGACCAUGGAGCACCACAUGACGUUCCUCUUGGCGGCCAUAACCAAUCAGCAGACCUGCCUGCAGCCCGACAUCCGCCAGAUCUUGCUUCCAUGGCCAAGAAGCUGCCCACUAAUCCUUGCGGCCUGGUGCCAGGAAGAAGAAACAGGGGUGCAGCAGCGGCGACGGCCAUCAAUCGGCGGCAGCGGCGGGAGCAUGCUGUGGCACCGUGCUCUACUGUGCAGUUGGCUAGCUUAAUAGGGCAAGAUGGGAUCCCAACGGGCUAAGUGGGAUAGCCCGAUUAACUUUUUCCCUAUCCAAUGGGAUUCCACUAAAGCAAAUUAAGUGGGAUGGACUAGUUAGUCCCACUUGAAUCCACUUCCAUCUGCAGUCUGAGUCCACUUGGUCUAGAUAGUGAGGUGCUUGCGCACGUCGCUUGUGUGAAGUGAGCAGGUCGUGUGGGAGGCGAAAUUGGUGAACACCACCGGCAGUCUAACUGCAUUGGAGCACCAAGCGGUGAGCUACAUCACCAUACGAACCGCACUGCACGCAUGCGAUGGGGGAAGCAAACGACACGCAGAUGAGCUCCGCACCACAGGGGUGCAUCGCGUGAACUGCACAGGGGGUCUACUGUUGACAUUGUCGCUGCCAUCGGGGCCAGGGAGGACCCGCUGCUGUAUACCAGGGGGGCUGCUGCGCCCGUUGGUGGCGAGGUAAGGUCCGAGGCUGGCAGGGAGGCACGUGUGGAGGGUUGGGAAGCGUCGGCGUGUGGCCGAGCUAGGUGCCGGCCCGAGCUCGAGUAAGAGGAGAUGAGGAGGCUAUCGGUGACACCCUGCUGCUCCUUGGAAGUUGGAUCAGGGAAUGAAGAGGGUCACGGCGGUGCCUGCAAAGCGCCGGUGGAGGAAGAUUGCAAUUUGCAAGAAUGGCAAUCGGAGACUGCGGGGCGGAGGAGCGGCUCACCUGUUUGACUCGUGUGGCGGCUCGGUCGUCAGAUCCAGGGGUCGACGUGGAGGAGGGCGGAUUGCAGCGAGGCGUAAGGCUGGAGUGGCGGCAACGGCGCUGGUCAGGGAGGUGCAGCGCUGGGGCGGCGGCGGCGGCGCGACCGAGCUGCACGGGGGCCGCGACCAAGCUGCACGUGGUGGGGUGGCACCCGAGUACCUACGGGUGGCGCAGAUGAGGGUCUCGCCGGAGACCGCCACGAGGAGAGGGCUCGUCGUCGACUUGAUCCAGAUCGAGGACGAAUGGCGGAUCCGGGCGUGGGGAAUGGGUGAUGCCGGGCAGGGGCGGCGGGAGACCAGCCCGAGGGGCACUAGGAGGUGCGGCCAGCUGCGGCGCCGGCGGGGGAAGAAGCCGGAUGAGGUCCGCCCUGACUCGUUGGAUGUCACCGUCGGCGCACGAUCUAGGGAGGAGAGGUCCAUGAGGGGCUCACCGGAUCUGGGGAGGAGAGGGCCACGGUGACCUCGACGCCCCACGGCCGCAGCCAUCUGGGAGGCCGGAUCCGGUGGGUUCUCGUCGUGAACCCACGGCCGGAUGCGGUGCUCGGCUACCCUUGUUGCACGAAGGAAGUGCUGGUGGCCAGGGGGGGCAGAGCGGGGAGACGGUGGUUGGAGCCACGGUGGCCGGGGCGCGAGAGAUCUGGCGGCGUCGGUGCCAGGAAGAAGGUGGGGAGCGGGGUUUCUGGUGGCGCGGGGGCCCCGGCAGAGAAGAAGGUGGGGGAGCGGUGGUUCUGGUGGCACGAUGGCCCCGACGGGGAAGAAGGUGGAGGAGCGCGUGGGGUUGCGCGGCGAUGGAGGCUCAGGGGUGGUGGAUCUAGUUCCGGUCGGGGGGACGGAAGAGUGUUAUCAGAAUAAGGCGAUUUGACGUGCAGAAUAAGCUCUUAAGGUGUUAUCAUAUAUAUACUAGCAAAAGGGCCCGUGCGUUGCAACGG
rnacentral:lncRNA from 1 species